AGUCGUAACAAGGUUUCCGUAGGUGAACCUGCGGAAGGAUCAUUACCGAGUGCGGGCUGCCUCCGGGCGCCCAACCUCCCACCCUUGACUACCUAACACUGUUGCUUCGGCGGGGAGCCCUCUCGGGGGCGAGCCGCCGGGGACUACUGAACUUCAUGCCUGAGAGUGAUGCAGUCUGAGUCUGAAUAUAAAAUCAGUCAAAACUUUCAACAAUGGAUCUCUUGGUUCCGGCAUCGAUGAAGAACGCAGCGAACUGCGAUAAGUAAUGUGAAUUGCAGAAUUCAGUGAAUCAUCGAGUCUUUGAACGCACAUUGCGCCCCCUGGCAUUCCGGGGGGCAUGCCUGUCCGAGCGUCAUUGCUGCCCAUCAAGCCCGGCUUGUGUGUUGGGUCGUCGUCCCCCCCGGGGGACGGGCCCGAAAGGCAGCGGCGGCACCGUGUCCGGUCCUCGAGCGUAUGGGGCUUUGUCACCCGCUCGAUUAGGGCCGGCCGGGCGCCAGCCGACGUCUCCAACCAUUUUUUUCAGGUUGACCUCGGAUCAGGUAGGGAUACCCGCUGAACUUAAGCAUAUCAAUAA
rnacentral:misc_RNA from 1 species